rnacentral:misc_RNA from 1 species
UUGAGUGGUACCUUAAACAAAUUGACUAAAGGUGGCUUUUCUAGGAGACCCUAUUAAACUUAUAAUGUAAAAGAUACUGCUAUGACCCGAGUGUGAUGGAUUCAAAACACGGAAACAACUCUUGUGCAACGUCAACCAAGGCUCUCUUCAAAAUUGUCACUGCUUUCUGUCUUCUGCUCAAAGAUUGAACUCACCUAAUAAUGCGACUCUGCAAAAAGGGGAAAGUAUAUUUAAGCAUUAUUAGGUUUUGUGCUUUUAACAUUCAGC